UGGGGAAUAUUGCACAAUGGGCGCAAGCCUGAUGCAGCCAUGCCGCGUGUGUGAAGAAGGCCUUCGGGUUGUAAAGCACUUUCAGCGAGGAGGAAGGUGGUGAGCUUAAUACGCUCAUCAAUUGACGUUACUCGCAGAAGAAGCACCGGCUAACUCCGUGCCAGCAGCCGCGGUAAUACGGAGGGUGCAAGCGUUAAUCGGAAUUACUGGGCGUAAAGCGCACGCAGGCGGUUUGUUAAGUCAGAUGUGAAAUCCCCGGGCUCAACCUGGGAACUGCAUUUGAAACUGGCAAGCUAGAGUCUCGUAGAGGGGGGUAGAAUUCCAGGUGUAGCGGUGAAAUGCGUAGAGAUCUGGAGGAAUACCGGUGGCGAAGGCGGCCCCCUGGACGAAGACUGACGCUCAGGUGCGAAAAGCGUGGGGAGCAAAACAGGAUUAGAUACCCUGGUAGUCCACGCUGUAAAACGAUGUCGAUUUUGGAGGUUGUGCCCUUGAGGCGUGGCUUCCGGAGCUAACGCGUUAAAUCGACCGCCU
rnacentral:rRNA from 1 species